rnacentral:lncRNA from 1 species
CUGAUCCCAACCAUCUACAAAUAACACAUGCAAGAGAGCCUGACGAGCAGGAGGCGGCGGUGGUGGCAGCAUGGAGGCGCAUCUCACUGCCCCCCACGGCAACGACUCCGCUCGCCGCGCUCCCCUCCAGCGGCUAUCCUGUCAGGUAAACUUCUUCCAUCUCUCAUCUCUGUUCUUUCCCCUCCAAUGCUCGACCAUCGCACUCGUUGGAUUUGGAGCGACAAUGACCAUGCCGUCGGUGAGGUGGUCAGAAUUGUGGCACCGAGGCUGCAGGAGAUUGGAAUCAACCCUUCCUUGUUCUCCAGGAGUGCGGACCUGGAUCUAAACAACCUAACAAGUGUUCGCCAUCUCGGCCAUCUCCGGCUCAACAUGUUCACGAUGGUUACUCCUGCUUACUCCUUAAUCUCUGGUCCGUUGCAGAUGCAAGUUGCACUAGGGACUAGCUCUGCUUUGAGUAUGAUGCUUGUUCUCUAGAAUUGCAACAUAUUCAGCCCUGGUUUUUCUGAUCCUCGGUAGAACCAUCUUAUCCAUUAACCAAGACAGCUCUGCCACAUUGUUUGAAAAAAAAGAUAGCUCUGUAGCAUUGCAUACCUCCUGAUUUGAUUCGUAUUAAUACUUUGGUGGAUUCUGCGAUUGAUUUUCAGUGAUUUGUUUGCUGUGAUUUUGGGCUGAGUAUUGCUAGUACUAUAUACUACUGUUCUUGAGUGCUCUGGAAUUCUGUACCUAUGGGUUUCAUCAGCGCCAGAUCUUACAUCUGAUUACUGAAUACUAACUAGCAGCAGCUCUGAUUCUGGUUCAUCGGCUGCCUUGCUUGUGUUAUUGUUAUGUAUCUAAGAGAUUGUAUUGCUGACUAAUACAUAUUUCUAUAAUAAUUCUCUUUUAGUUUACCACUCAGCUGUUCUGUACCCACUGAGCUAAUAAACUGUAUCCCAUCUAUUAAUCUUUUUAAUAGUUCAAAAAUAUGGAAGAGGAAGAAGGGGCUAGCUUAUUGUUCAUGCAUGAUGAACCCAGGAUAAGGGCUCCACAAUCACCAGUGUUGUCUCCUUCAAUUGUAAACCUCUGCGGAGCUUAUAGCAGUAUUGAGCAUUUUUCACUUUGAUUUUGUUUAGCUUUGCAGAGCUUUUAUCCAGUAGCUAUCACAUUAACUCCUUAUGCCCUUUUCUCAUCAAGUCUUCAUUGCGCAAGCACUUGAAAAGGUGCAAUAAAAAGAAGAAGGCUCUUAGAGUUGCUGGUCAGUUAAAUGCCUCUAUCAUGACCCCUGAUAGAGUUGCAUUAGAGCCUUGGACAUUUAAUCAGGCAGUGUCAUGCAAAGAGCUCAUGAGUAUGAUUGUGUUGCACGAGUUACCUUUCUCACUUGUGGAAUAUGAUGGCUUCAGAAGGUUUGUCUCCAGUCUAAACCCAAGAUUUAAGAUGAUUUGCAGAAACUAUCAGAUUUUCAAAGUCGAAUGACCCUAGAAACCCGUUGAAGCUCUAGUGUGUCUGCAAGACUGGAUGAGGGAAAAUGGCAAAAUUAUGAGACAUAUGUUAAUUGCAUUUCUCACUAAUGCUUCAAUUUCACAAAGUCAUAAAAUUUGCUCUUGUUUUGUGCAGCUCAUAGUCAGCGCCGCAUGGACUCGGUUCAUGACAUUAUCUCAAUUUUGGAAGGUACUUUUUUCCUACUACUUUUUCAUCUCAUUUCUGUUAAGAAUAUAUGUCUAACCUCAAGUAGACAUGUUGCAGUAUGGAAAUUCUUGUAGCAUAUGUUAUUCCUGUUAACACAUGGUGACCAAUGAUUGCGAUCUAACCUCAAGUAGCAUAUAGCAGUAAUCAGCCGACUGCAGAACAUGAUGGCUGCCCUGCCAAUGGCUGCCUUGCCAAUAAAAUGAAAAGCUGCAAAAUUGUUCUGUUGAAUGCCAUGGACCAUAUCACAUCUACUGGAUGGUAGUGGAGUAUUUUGUUGACAUCAAAAUACCAGCUAGGAGUAGAACUUGGAGAUAUACUACUUCUUUUUGAGGGGAAGAGAUAUACUACUAAUUGAUAGAGAUAUUCUACUUAAUUAUGAUCGGACUAUUUUUCUUCUUUUGUGGUGUAUAGCUACUGUCCCUUGUUCUGUUUUUUAUUGUUGCAUCUGAAUAUAUACAUAUGCACUGAAAUUCACCAAUUCAAUUUCCCUGAACACAGGUGAUGAGGCCACGGAGGGAUAAUAAGGUUCGUGAUGGUUGUGAGAACUGUUUGAUCCAGUAACGUCCAAUAUGUGAUGAAGCAAAAUAUGGUGAAAACUGAGAGUUAAAUGUUAUCUAUGAGUAAUCACUAGCAAAAAGAUGAGUUAUGUGUAAUGGCAGAGAUGAAUCAACAACUGAUGGCAAAAACUAUCCAAUCGUUGAUGUUGAAUUGUGAUGAUAGAGAUAAACUUCUGAUUAUUAAUUGCUAAUGGACAUGGAAGUUAAACUCUUAUAUUCAUUACGUGUACUCAUGCUUGCCUGAGUGCUUA